rnacentral:ncRNA from 2 species
GAAUGCCGGGAGUUGUCAGGUGCCGACUCGCUGUUCAGCGACGAGGUGAAACGGGAAACAGGUGAAAUACCUGUGCUGCCCCCGCAACGGUAAGCAAGCGCGGGUUCAUCAACAUGCCACUGUGAUUUACACGGGAAGGCGAUGAACCAAAACUUGCGAGCCCGGAGACCGGCCUGCGCAACCAAACGUUG